UUGAGGGGCAGCCGCCACCAAAGACUAUGGCGUGCCCACCACCGGGAACUCCUCUCCAGAAAUGAGAGGCUGCCACUGCUGAGGGAGUGGGAAAUUCAAGAAAACUUUCGGAUCCACACACUUAGUUCUACAUACAUCCUUUCACCCCUCUUCCAAGACUUAUAUUCUUGAACCAGGCGUGGUGACUUUUCCGGAGCCAUAAGAGGAUUUUGAGAUCUGCGUCAACUGGGAUAGCGAACGCGGAUGUUAUUCCAGAUACUUCAUUAAAUUUGACCAGUAUUUCUCCAUAGA